AUGCAGCAAAAUCCAUAACAAGAAGAAAAGAAGAAGAGCAUCUUUUGACAGAUGACAUAAUGUGUGCAUGUUUUUGUCAAAUGUAAUGUCAAGUCAAGUAAUAUCUUAUUGGUUAUUGUCUAGUGUAUAGUCUUUGUCUUCUAUGGCCUAUGAUUAUUGGUUAUAGUACGUCGUGUUUUUUUUGUGGUCUCUGGUCUCAAAAAUCUACUUUUAGUUUUGGUUUUGUGCAAAAAACGUGUAAAUAGUAAAUUCUGUUUCGCGAGUCGUGAGUGCGCGAGUUUUGCAAAAUACUAAAAUGGCACCACCCAGAAGUAACAUUUGGCUACAUUUCACAAAAAUUUCAAAGGAGCAAGCUCGAUGCAAUAUAUGCUCAAAAAUCUUAAUAAAGACCUCAGGGAAUACCACUAAUCUUAACAGUCAUUUUAAGCAGAAGCAUUCGGAUUUAAACAAAGGCAAGGAUGGUGAGUAUGGUGACGGUGACGGAAGUGCAAAGUCCUCGGCAAAAUCUAAAGAUAAAGACGCAAGUGAAAACGAACCAAUUCCUGGGGGUUCUGGAAUAUGAGGACAUAGGGCCGGUUGUAUAAAUCAAUUUUGAUCUUAGGUUCGGCGGAACGCCGAUCAAAAUGUGAACUGCGUUCAUUCGAUAUUCUGUUGUUCAAUGUAAACUGAACUUUAGUUCAGCUGAACUGAGGUUAGUUUAGGUUGGCACUACAAAUAUUUAGUUACUUUUGGUUUUUUUAAAUUUUUGACAUUUAACAUAACCUAAAAGGAAAGGUUUGUUUUGUUUUUGUUUGAUUUGGCGGGCUGGGUUGCUUGCAAGUAAAAAAAAAAGUAAAAGCAGUAAAAGUUUAUAAAAAGUGUAUUUUCUACUUGGUGUGGCUGGUACUACUAAUUAAACUUGAUUUUAUAUACCUAUACGUAAGUACAAAUUGACAUUUUUGCAAGCCGUUAAAUACUUUCGAAUUUUAUUGUAGUAGGUAUUGCUUUUAUUUUAUUGGGUACAGUGUUUGGUUUUUGUAUUUAUUAUUUGUAGAUUCUUGUUUGGUGGUGGAAUAUUUUAUAAAUGGAUUCUUGUAAGAAAAGAACUGUUAAUUUCAGUAAAAAGGAGGUUGGCAUAUUAAUGAGCCUUGUACUAAAAUAUAAGGGCACAAUUGAAUGUCGAAAGACUGACAAAAUGAACAACGAUUUAAAGCAGAAAGCUUGGGAGCGUCUAUCAAAUGAAUUUAAUAGCAUUUAUGGAGAGCCUUUCAGAGAUGCAAAAGUUCUUCGUGGCAAGUAUGAAAAUCAAAAAAAAAGGUCAAAACAAAAAUUUGCUGAUGAAAAAACAUACCUACGAGGAACUGGAGGAGGGCCUGUAAAACCUAAGAUAAUUGACGAUAUCGACAAACAAGUUAAAGAAAUUAUAGGUACUCAGAUGACAGGCUUUGAUUCAGAAUUUGAUGGAGAUAGUAAAUAUGGCAACAUGCAGAUGAAAACUCCUGAGGGAUCUCGUUUUAAUAUUUCUGAUUCAGAGUUACCUAAUGAAGACAUAGAGCAAAUGGAGGAAGAUGGCAAAGAUUCCAAUGAGGAAGAUAGUUUAUUGUCAGGUAUAGGUAAACGCUAUCCCUAUACUUAUGUUUCAAUUAUUAGUAUUAAUAAACAAUAUGUUUAGAUGACACUUUCUUCUAUUCUGACUAUUCUUAUUUUAGCUGCUUUACCUACCAACUGGAACAAAAUAACCCCAGAAAAGCUUCGCACUCCAAAAUCGAAGCCAUUGAAAACCAUUUUGAAGAAGUCUUGUGCUAAUAAGGAAAAUAAAAAUGUUCUGUCAAAUAAAAUUAUUUCCUGGGCUGCAAAUAAAGCUGAAUUAGUCUCCAAGGAGACAGAAUACCUUGAAAAAGAACAUCUUUUGAGAGUAGAAAUGAUGAAGGAACGCCACAAACAUCAAAUGGCACUAGAAACAAAGCAGAUUGAUAAAAGAAUUCUUAUUCAAGCUAAGAAAGCUGAACUAGAGCUGGAGAUCCUUCAACUGAAAAAAGAUCAGCUGCUA
rnacentral:lncRNA from 1 species